ACUUGAAUUAUUUUUUUAAAAAUUUAAACAAAAAAAGUUUAGUUGGGGAAACUUAAAGUAAAAAGUAACGCUUUAUUUUUUUGUCAAGAUCCUAUAUUAUGGAAAAAUGAAAAAGU
rnacentral:rRNA from 1 species